rnacentral:lncRNA from 1 species
AUGAAUCGUGGUACAGAAACGAAUGUCACAUCUUUUCUAUAUAAUAGGAGUUCUGUACAAAAUAAAUAAAUAAUUACAUCAUAAGGAGACAACGAUCUAGCAACCCAAAUUUGAAUGGGAGACGACGACCUAGACCUCUCACGAACUUGUCACAGCAUCCUCCAUGCGCCUCAUCCUGCGGUACCUGUUCUUGACCUGUGUGGGGUGUGAGACAGCACUAGUAAGCUCACAUACGUUCAUCACUCAACAAGUUGUGGGGAAUAAUGUGCAUGAACUCGCCAAAGGUGGGAGCUCAUGUGAAGUGUAAGGCUUACCAAAGAGGAAGAUUAAAGCUGAGCAUUGCUUUUAAAGUUAGUCAAAAUUUUAUUAGCAAUUACUAAGUAUAAGUAGAUACCAACCCAAUUAAGUAGUAGAACAAAAGUGAUAACAACACCUGCGAUGCAAUGCAAAUGACAAAUUGAAUUUUAGUUCCAUAAGUUAAUCAUGUUGGUGUCUGAGCUGCUCAUGACCGUGAGCAUGACUGAUAUAUCAGUUUUACACUCUGCAGAGGUUGCACAUCUUUACCCACAAGUCAUGUUACUCAUUUGCCAAGGGAUCGCGACUUCCCAUACACCUCUACUGAGGAGGCGAGACAGGGUAACACUACGAGGCCUUUACAAAGUUCCACUAGCUUCAGAAAACCCGCUACAGUUUCUACGAAGCUCCAAUGUAGGGACCCCUCGCCUGACCGCCAUCGCAGCAAAAUCAACCCAAGGGCUUCCCUACACUGACCACUCCCCUACUGCCCUUGCCCUUUCGGGUAAGGUAGUCAUCCACUAGCUUUCCUAAUUAGCCAGCCAAGGGCAUCCCAUACCACCCUUGUGGCAGCACUAUUUUCCCGAGUGGUUCUCCAUGUUCCAAUUAACAUAAUGAUCUUAUCAUGAACAGUAAAUAACAAACUGAUAAUAAAAGUAUGAUCAUGAAUAAUGUGUAUCUCCAUACCCCAAACCACAAUAAGCAAUAGCAGGUACUACCAAAAAAUUUAGUGGUAAACAAGGUAUAAAGAUAGCCAAACUAGAGUAACCUAUUGGGUCCCAUCAAAAUUAACCUAUGUAGAUCAUUAUGAUUAAUAAGAACAUUAUUGGGUAAAUAGAAGUGAUCAAGGGCACAACUUGCCUGGGACUUGAGAUUUCCAGGUACCAGGAUGCUCUUCAGAUGACUCGUAACCUCGCUCUAGUCGUAGCAAUACAAACAAACAGUGUAUAGGAAAAAUUAACAUCACACCAAACAUAAGGAAAAACUGAAUAAUAAUGAUCUACGCGUCGUAACGAGAUCGUGGGAACGAGAAUCACUAAAUUCGGAGUUACGGUUAUCAAGUUAUGAUUUUCUGAAGUUAUUAAGUGCUUGGUAUGAAAUAAAUUAAGUAGACAAUUUUAGUCUAUGUUUCAUGCCUAAACAAAGUUACUAGGUGAUAAACAGUAUUAAAACAAAAUUAAUGCCACUGGAAUGGAUUAAAAGAGCUAAGAUGAAUUUUCUAUAGAUUAAAUAAGUUCUAGAAUUAUUUUGGCACUAGAAAUCCAUUUUCUAAAUUAUUUUUCCUAUUUUCUCAGAGCUCUGGACUGUGCACACAAUAAUCAGGAAGUUCAGGGGGUCGAUUUGCAAAUUUUAGGACACAUUUGCAGUUUACUAUGCGCUUCCUGUGGACGGCGAGUUGAAUAACUAGAAGAACAUGGACUCUUUUGAAUUUAUGUGCGGCCGAAGGGGUAUCUGCGAACCACGACCACCCAAAUAUAAUCCUACUGCCCAUAUUAAACCGAUCCCAUACAUGAACCGGUAUGCGAUGAUGGCCGCAGGGUCAUAGAUCCACGACCAAGAUUCAUGUACUGAAUCGAUUUCGUCCUUUUUAAUCUCGUUCGCUCGCUAGAUGAUCUACGGACACCAUUGCCCCUGACCAAAGUGUUGCGCUCCACUAAUUUGGUGCGCCCAUCACCGGAUCAACGAUCCGAGUCUCGUCUGCUUCUUUCCUCCGUCCACCGCAACAGUGAGCUAGAGCACCGCCGCAACCCAGCCGGGGCACAUGGAUAGGCGACUCCGGGUUCUAAUCUCUCUCUAGAUCUCAGGUGAACGAUGCCAUGACCACCCCGAAUCACAUGAACUACCGCAUAAAUCCUAAUCUCGAGCUCAAACUCCUGAUUACGACACCACGUGGUGUGCCACGACGGCGCUCAAGGCUCAACCACGGCAAGGCACCACCACCUCACCCAACACCCUGAACCGCUCCAACACAAGCGCAGAACACGCAAGGGAGUAUGAUGAACGAUAGGGCAAAUACUUUACCUUGAAUUGCGUCGCGAUAGCUUCUGUUCAUGCGGCGCAGGAGCGCCACGGCGGCAUCUAAGCACCGGCGAGAAAUUGCCCAGCGCUUACACCAACCCCGAGCACGGCGAGGCCACGUACAUCACCGAUGCACCCCGGCGAAUCACCCAGACCAGUCCCCGAGGGAUCGACGAUGGCACACACGAGGGACGGCGUUUGCGACACCCGCCACCAUACCCGACGAUGGCGAUGAAGUCUGAUUCCAAGGGAUUCGGCCAGCAGCGAGAUUCACGGCAAGGGAAUUUGUCCGCCCAACACGC